rnacentral:rRNA from 1 species
CACGUAGGGUGCGAGCGUUGUCCGGAAUUAUUGGGCGUAAAGAGCUCGUAGGCGGUGUGUCGCGUCGGCCGUGAAAACCUGCAGCUUAACUCUGAGCGUGCGGUCGAUACGGGCAUCACUUGAGUUCGGCAGGGGAGACUGGAAUUCCUGGUGUAGCGGUGAAAUGCGCAGAUAUCAGGAGGAACACCGGUGGCGAAGGCGGGUCUCUUGGCCGAUACUGACGCUGAGGAGCGAAAGCAUGGGGAGCGAACAGG